rnacentral:lncRNA from 1 species
AGGCACGAUCAUACCAGCACUAAUGCAUCGGAUCCCAAUAGAACUCCGCAGUUAAGCGUGCUUGGGCGAGACUAGUACUAGGAUGGGUGACCUCCUAGGAAGUCCUUGUGUUGCACCUCUUUUUUCCAAAAUUUCUUGUUCUUUUUGUUAAUUAGCGUAAUUUUACGUCGUUUUUGAAAAAUAAACUUUGAUUGUAUUUCAUUUUUUUCCGUUAAUUUACGCAACCUAAAACUCUAUACGUUAAUUAGCGUAGUUUGACGUCUUUUUUGAAAAAUAAACUUAGAAAUGCAUUUAUACAAUUACAACGCUUUACUCUCAGGUGCGAUCAUACCAGCACUAAUGCAUCGGAUCCCAUCAGAACUCCGCAGUUAAGCGUGCUUGGGCGAGAGUAAUACUAGGAUGGGUGACCUCCUAGGAAGUCCUUGUGUUGCACCUCUUUUUUCCAAAAUUUCUUGUUCUUUUUGUUAAUUAGCGUAAUUUUACGUCGUUUUUGAAAAAUAAACUUUGAUUGUAUUUCAUUUUUUUCCGUUAAUUUACGCAACCUAAAACUCUAUACGUUAAUUAGCGUAGUUUGACGUCUUUUUUGAAAAAUAAACUAAGAAAUGCAUUUAUACAAUUACAACGCUUUACUCUCAGGUGCGAUCAUACCAGCACUAAUGCAUCGGAUCCCAUCAGAACUCCGCAGUUAAGCGUGCUUGGGCGCGAGUAGUACUAGGAUGGGUGACCUCCUGGGAAGUCCUUGUGUUGCACCUCUUUUUGCCAAAAUUUUACGUCGUUUUUGAAAAAUAAACUUCGAUUGUAUUUCAUUUUUUCCGUUAAUUUACGCAACCUAAAACUCUAUUCGUUAAUUAGCGUAGUUUGACGUCUUUUUUGAAAAAUAAACUUAGAAAUGCAUAUAUACAAGUACAACGCUUUACUCUCAGGUGCGAUCAUACCAGCACUAAUGCACCGGAUCCCAUGAGAACUCCGUAGUUAAGCGUGCUUGGGCAAGAGUAGUACUAGGAUGGGUGACCUCCUGGGAAGUCCUUGUGUUGCACCUCUUUUUGCCAAAAUUUCUUGUUCUUUUUGUUAAUUAGCGUAAUUUUACGUCGUUUUUGAAAAAUAAACUUCGAUUGUAUUUCAUUUUUCCGUUAAUUUACGCAACCUAAAACUCUAUUCGUUAAAUAGCGUAGUUUCACGUCUUUUUUGAAAAAUAAACUUUGAAAUGCAUAUAUACAAUUACAACGCUUUACUCUCAGGUGCGAUCAUACCAGCACUAAUGCACCGGAUCCCUUUAGAACUCCGCAGCUAAGCGUGCUUGGGCGAGAGUAGUACUAGGAUGGGUGACCUCCUGUGAAGUCCUUGUGUUGCACCUCUUUUUGCCAAAAUUUUACGUCGUUUUUGAAAAAUAAACUUCGAUUGUAUUUCAUUUUUUCCGUUAAUUUACGCAACCUAAAACUCUAUUCGUUAAUUAGCGUAGUUCGACGUCUUUUUUGAAAAAUAAACUUAGAAAUGCAUAUAUACAAUUACAGCGCUUUACUCUCAGGUGCGAUCAUACCAGCACUAAUGCACCGGAUCCCAUCAGAACUCCGCAGUUAAGCUAGCUUGGGCGAGAGUAGUACUAGGAUGGGUGACCUCCUGGGAAGUCCUUGUGUUGCACCUCUUUUUGCCAAAAUUUUACGUCAUUUUUGAAAAAUAAACUUCGAUUGUAUUUCAUUUUUUCCGUUAAUUUACGCAACCUAAAACUCUAUUCGUUAAUUAGCGUAGUUUGACGUCUUUUUUUAAAAAUAAACUUAGAAAUGCAUAUAUACAAGUACAACGCUUUACUCUCAGGUGCGAUCAUACCAGCACUAAUGCACCGGAUCCCAUCAGAACUCCGCAGUUAAGCGUGCUUGGGCGAGAGUAAUACUAGGAUGGGUGACCUCCUAGGAAGUCCUUGUGUUGCACCUCU